rnacentral:rRNA from 1 species
CCGUCGCGGGCGUUGGAAAUUUGAGGGGAGCUGUCUAUCGUACGAGAGGCCCGGGAUGGACUUACCGCUGGUGUACCAGUUGUUCUGCCAAGGGCAUUGCUGGGUAGCUAUGUAGGGAAGGGAUAAACGCUGAAAGCAUCUAAGUGUGAAGCCCACCUCAAGAUGAGAUUUCCCAUUUCUUUAAGAAAGUAAGAUCCCUGAGAGAUGAUCAGGUAGAUAGGUCAGGAGUGGAAGUACAGUGAUGUAUGGAGCGGACUGAUACUAAUCGAUCGAGGACUUAACCAAU